UACGUAGGGUGCGAGCGUUAAUCGGAAUUACUGGGCGUAAAGCGUGCGCAGGCGGUCUGUUAAGACAGAUGUGAAAUCCCCGGGCUUAACCUGGGAACUGCAUUUGUGACUGGCAGGCUAGAGUAUGGCAGAGGGGGGUGGAAUUCCACGUGUAGCAGUGAAAUGCGUAGAGAUGUGGAGGAAUACCGAUGGCGAAGGCAGCCCCCUGGGCCAAUACUGACGCUCAUGCACGAAAGCGUGGGGAGCAAACAGG
rnacentral:rRNA from 1 species